rnacentral:misc_RNA from 1 species
GAUGAAGAACGCAGCGAAAUGCGAUAAGUAGUGUGAAUUGCAGAAUUCCGUGAAUCAUCGAAUCUUUGAACGCACAUUGCGCCUUCUGGUAUUCCGGAAGGCAUGCCUGUUCGAGAGUCAUUAACAACCGUUUCGAUCCCUUUCUUUCAGAAAUUACAAAGAGGAAAAGGGUUUGGUUAUGGUGGAGGAGGGAAAGGGAGCGUUUAGCCUGUAAAAAAAGAGGCUGUGUUCCGCCUCCCCCCCAAAAUUGUACAGGCGGUCGUGUGCGCCCACGCAUCGAGGUGUUGUAAAAGCUGCCACGGCACUUUUCACCUGUGCAAUGCGAGAUUGGCCAGCCGGUUUAAAAACCCCUCCAAACAAUCAAAGGUUGACCUCGGAUCAGGUAGGGAUACCCGCUGAACUUAAGCAUAUCAAUAAGCGGAGGA